UACAGAGACUGCAAGCGUUAUUCGGAUUCACUGGGCGUAAAAGGGGUGCGCAGGCGGUUGGGGUGUGUCAGAUGUGAAAAUCCCGAAGGCUUUAAACCUCGGGAACUUGCCGUCUGAAAACUUAACUCGACUAGAGUACUGGGAGGAGGGGAAAACGGGAAAUUUCACGGGUGUAGGCAAGUGAAAAUGCGUAGGAAUAUCGUUGGAGGGAAACACCAGAGGGCGAAAGGGCGGUUUUCCCUGGG
rnacentral:rRNA from 1 species